GAUGAACGCUGGCGGCGUGCCUAAUACAUGCAAGUCGAGCGAACGGACGAGAAGCUUGCUUUUCUGAUGUUAGCGGCGGACGGGUGAGUAACACGUGGAUAACCUACCUAUAAGACUGGGAUAACUUCGGGAAACCGGAGCUAAUACCGGAUAAUAUUUUGAACCGCAUGGUUCAAAAGUGAAAGACGUUCUUGCUGUCACUUAUAGAUGGAUCCGCGCUGCAUUAGCUAGCUGGUAAGGUAACGGCUUACCAAGGCAACGAUGCAUAGCCGACCUGAGAGGGUGAUCGGCCACACUGGAACUGAGACACGGUCCAGACUCCUACGGGAGGCAGCAGUAGGGAAUCUUCCGCAAUGGGCGAAAGCCUGACGGAGCAACGCCGCGUGAGUGAUGAAGGUCUUCGGAUCGUAAAACUCUGUUAUUAGGGAAGAACAUAUGUGUAAGUAACUGUGCACAUCUUGACGGUACCUAAUCAGAAAGCCACGGCUAACUACGUG
rnacentral:rRNA from 1 species